CUUGGAAACUCUUCACCAAAUCCGCUAACGUUCGGUUUCCUGCACAAUUCCCCACUGAAACAGAACAGCAUGAAGGACGAAGGCAUCACUAUGAUGGAAUUCAAACUCAUGUACACAAGACAUUAGCCUGAGGGUAAGCCGGAAUUACUCGCCAAGUGAGAGUAUCACCAUGCCACUAAAGUUAUGGAAGGACAUGGACAUUAUUUGCUAAGCAGGAAUUACUGCCAGUUCAUAAUUGAUCAGAG